CAUGCAGAUGGGGUGCUGGGGGAGGGCCUUCGGGGUGGGGUCGCUCAGGAAUGGCGGCAAGCUGGUGUGGCCCCUCAGUGGGCCUGGGCGCCGAGCCCUGGGCGAGCCGGAAGGCAGAGCUCUUCUCGUCAAUGGUCGCUUCUGGGAUAGACCGCCGGUGGCUUUCCUAACAGAACACGGGUCCUCAGAGCGCCGGAGAUGCUAUUGCCCCCAGCGGUGCUGGCGAGGCCUCCCGCCCGCAGGCACUGGGCUUUCUGGCCUUCAGGGAGGCAGGAACCCUCCACUCUUCAGUCUCUGCCCCCAAGCAUACCGCACUGCCCAGGCUGAGAGAGCAGCGCCACUUUUCAGAAAGGAAAAGCUAUGAGAAAGGUUGUCCCCUCUCCCUAACCCUAACCCUAACCCUAACCCUAACCCUAACCUCUCCCUACCCAAGUGGCGUGGUCAGGGCCCUCGGGAAAACGGGGGCCAUCGAAGCUCAGGAGCUGGCAGGGGCCCUGACGACCAUGUGGGCCCCUCAGUGGACUCCCAGUCCUGCCAGGGCCUUGAAGUGCACACGGGCCAGACCUGGACAGACCACCUUGAGGUUCUGAGAGUUGCCCUUGGAGUAGGAGGCUCGAGCUGCAGAGGGAGGUGACUCGGUGUCAAGCGCCUGCCUCCUGAGCUGGAAGUGGUGGGCGGGAUCUCCCACACUCCUCUUGGCCUGGGGGGGACCCAGUAGCCUCCACUGGGUCAGUGCCCAGGAGGCCAGGCCCACUCCCCCACCCCCACCUCCCCCUUGGCUGGGGUGUGGUGCAGAGGGAGAGCACUUGCCUAGUCUGUGGCAGGCCCUGGGGUCCCUCCUGGGCCCUGGAUGGCAGGGAGUGAGCAGAGAGGUUGGAGUGUGCCUGAUAAGGUCCACCUGGGCUUUCUCCUCAUUGGCUUCUGCAAGGUAAUUGAAGGUAAAACGCGUGACUUUUUCUUUUGAUGGGAAGAAGCAGAUUUGGAUGGAACUAAUGUUGGAAUCUAGAUGGAAAGGGGAUUCUUUGCCUAAGACAUCAGUGUGGGAGCCCAGCUGGUCACUCAGGCUUUCCUUUUGUCCGUCCCUCCCUGUCUCCUUCCUUUCUUAAUUUUUUCCUUUUUAGGUUCCUAUAAGGGAUCAAGAGCUGGGAUGCAGAGAGGGCUGAGAAACAGUCUCUGAGGAGCUCAUGCUCUAAGGGUUAAUUUGAAUGAUUUUCAAAGAGCUCCAAUGAGAAAUAGGUCUGUGUCAUAUGGAGGGUGAAGCCUCAGUCCUGUUGGUCAUGGAAGGGGCACAGGGAGGUGGAGUGACGAUGACAAGGAGGUGUGAUUUUGGAAGUAAGUCCUGAGAAUGGGCUCAUUCUUGGUAAACCAGGAAUGCCCUGGAAAAUUGGUGAUUGGCAAGUGGAGUGAGUGAGUCUUACUUUUUUUUAUAUAUAUAUUUAUUUUUUUUGUUGUAGUUGGACACAAUACCUUUAUUUUAUUUUUAUGUGGUGCUGAGGAUCAAACCCAGGGCCUCGCACAUGCUAGGUGAGUGCUCUACCGCUGAGCCACAACCCCAGCCCCUAAAGACCCUCUUAAUCAAUCAAUUCAAUUUAUUUAUUUAUUUUUGGUACCUGGGGAUUUAACCCAGGGGUGCUUCAUCACUGAGCCACAUUCCCAGUCCUUUUUAUUUUCUAUUUUGAGAUGGGUCUUGGUAAGUUGCCUGGGACUUCGCUAAGUUGCCGAGGCUGGCCUUCCGAGCCCCACCUCCUGAGCUGUGAGGAUCACAGACAUGUGCCACGAUGCCUGGCGGUUUUUAUUUUUUAGAGCAAUUUUAGGUUACAGUAAAACUGAGGAGGAAGCCUGGAGAUGUCCCACGUGCUCCCUGUUCCCCCGAUGUCCUCCCACACUAGGGAUGUCCCCCAUCAGAAUGCUGCAGAACCUGCACUGAUGUGUGUCUGUCACCCAAAGCCCGUAGUUCACACGACGGCUCACUCUUGUGGCGCACCUUCUAGGUGUUCUAACAGCUGCGUAGUGAGAUGUGAGAAUCACCUCACUGCCCGAGUCCUCGGUGCUCUGCCUCCUUACGCCUCCUGCCUGCUGACCCUCGGACGGUACCGCUCAUCCCUUCACUGCCUUCGUAAAGCGCCUCGGUCAGUAGCAGGCCUUUUGAGUUUCUUCCUUGCCUUUCAAGACUUCAGAUCACAGCUUCUUUAUCCAUGCGCUGUCUGAAGGACAUCUUGCCUGCUUUCAGGUUUUACCAAUCAUGAAUGAAUCUGCUGUAAGCAUCCCUGUGCAGGUUUUGUGCUAAGGUAGGCUUCCAACACUUGAUAGACCAAGAAGCAUGAUCACUGGGUUGUAUGCUGAGAGCUUAUCUGGCUUUUUGAGAAACUGCCCAACCACCUUCCCAAGUGUUCCUGUUGCUCCCCAUCUUUGCCAACACAUGAGGUGAGUCAUGUUCUGAAUUGUGGCCUUUCUAACGGGUGUGUAGGGGUGUCCCACAGUUGUUUAAUUUGCACUUUGAGGAUGACAUGAUGUGGAGCAUUUUUUCAUAUCUUUUUUCUAUCAGUAUAUCUUCUUUGGUGAGGUGCUUUUUAAGGUCUUUGGGUCAUUUUUUUACUCAGUUGUUUAUUAUUUUUGAGUUUUAAGAGUUCUCUGUGUGUUGGUGGAUAGUAACCUUUCGGAUAUGACUUGUGCAAAUAUUUUCUCUGGUUGUAGUUUGUUUUCAUUCUCUUGAUAGCCUCAGAUAUUUUCAUGAAGUCCAGUUCUUUCCUGGUUUGUGUCUUAAUUGUGUUAGAGUCCUUCCCAAGCCCCAACUCAGCUGGGUGUCCUCUGCUGUCUCCCAGGAGUUUUGUAGCUUUGUACUUUACAUCCAGGUCUGUGAUCCAGGUUGAGUUAAUUUUAUGAAGAGUGUUAAGAAUGUCUAGAAAUACUUUUAUUUAUGUGUGUAGUUACUGUUUGUUCCUGUACCAUUUGUUGAAAACAUUUCAUUUGUUCCACUGAACUGCCUUUUCUUCUUUGCCAAAAAUUCAUAGACCUGUGUUGGGCACCUGUUUUUUUUCGUGGAUCUGUUAGUCUCUCCUCUCAUCAGGCUCCACCAUCGUGUUUCCUGUAGCGUCCUGUUAAGCUCUGAAGUCAGGUGGCCUCAGUCCCACCAACUUGGUUCUUCUCGGUGAUGUUUUACUAUUCUAGUUCCUUUGCUUCUCCAUGUAAAUUUUAGGGUUAGUUUGUCAAUAUUCUCGCAAUAACUUGCUGCAUUAAUCUACUGUUCAAGUUAGGAAGAACAGACAUCUAGACAAUACUGGAUUUUUUUCCCUAUCUGUGAAUAUGGAAUAUAGCUUUCUUUGAUUUUUUUUUCAUCAGAGUUGCAUUAUUCUUCUCAUAUAGCUCUUGUACAUAGUGUGUUAGAUUCAUAACUAAGAAUUGUCAAUUUCUUUUGCUAAAGUUAAUGGUAUUGUUUUAAUUUCUAAUCCUACUCACUUGUUGUUGUUAUAUGAAAAAGCAACUGACUUUUGUGUUUCACUGUGUAUUUUCCAACCUCGAUAUAAUUGCUUAUUAGUUCCAGGAGUUUUUUUCUCCCCAUAAAUCCUUCAGCUUUUCUGCAUAGAUCAUCAGGUUAUCUGCAAACAAAAACAGUUUUAUUUCUUCCUUCCUAAUUAGUGUACCCAUUAUUUCCUGUUCUAGCCUUAUUGCAUUAUUUAGGAUUUCUAAGAUAAUGUUGAAAAGGAGUGCAAAAGAGGGUACCUCCUUCUCUGUUCCCUCCCCUGUUCCUAAUCUUAGUGGGAAAGCGUUUACCUUCUUACCAUUGAGUAUAUCUUGGCUGAGUUCUUCACAGACAUUCUUUAUCCAGUUGAGGCAGGGCGUGGGUUGUCCUUGGUAAGGCCUUGUUGUCCCUCAGUGUUCAGGAGAGCUGGAGGGAUGGCCACUAUUUGGCUCCUGGCAGCAGUGACUUCUAUCUUCUUUCUCUCUUGAUUGUCCUGGCUAGAGACUCAUCUAUUUUAUUAAUUUUCUUCAAAGAAUCAUCUUUUGAUUUUUGUCUAUUGAUUUCAAUCUCAUUCUUAUCAAUUUUUAUUGACUUCCUUCAAAGAGUUAACUUUUGGUUUUCUUGAUUUUUAUCUAAGCACUUUUCUGUUUUCAAUCUCACUGAUUUCUGCUGUAAUUUUAUUAUUUAUUUUCAUCUUACUUUGGACUUAAUUUUCCUUUCUUUUUUUUAGUUUCAUAGUAUGGAACUUUAUGUGAUUGCUUUUAGAGCUUUCUUCUUUUGCAAUAACAUGUCUUCAGUACUUCCCUCUAUGCUCUGUAUUUCCUGUAUCACACACAUUUUGAUAAGUUCUGUGUACACUCAUUUAGUUUAAAAUAUUAUUUGAUUUAUUUUGUAACCUAUAUUUAGGAGCAUGUUGUUUGAUUCCCCAGUAUUUUGGGGUUCUCUGCUUUUCCUGUUACUGCGUUAUCGUUCAAUUCCAUUUUGUGGGACUGAGCUUUAUGGCUCACAGUGUGGUCUAUUUUGAGCAUUCUGCGUGUGCUUGAGAAGAAUAUCUCUCUCUUGUUGGGUUGAAUGGUCUCUACAUACCCCUUGGGCCCAGGGCAUUGCUGAGUGACUGAGUUCCCGCCUGCGGCGUCUGUUUCUGAUAGAGGGUGUUGUGGCCCCCGUCUCCCCUUGGCUCUGUCAGUCUUGCCUCACACAUCUUGACACUCCUUAGGCAUAUACACAUUGAGGGCUGUUACAUUGUUUCGGAAAACUGAGCCCUUUAUGGUCGAGUGACACCCACUUUGUGCACCGACACCUCUCUUGCUGAACAGUCUGCUCUGUUGGAAAUGAUGACAGCUUCUUCCACUUCCUUUCUGUUGGUGUGAACCUGCGAUCGCUUUAUCCUUCACUUUCAAUCUAUUUGUGUCUUGGUAUUCACAGUGUUUCCUACAGACAGUGUGUACUUGGGUCUUGUUUGAUGUUCCGCUGACCACAUCUGUCUUUUCAUUGUCUUAACUGCUAACAUUCAAAGUAAUGAUUAUGAUAAAUAUGAUAAGUGAUAAAUAGUAUGUAUUAACCAUAUUUAUUAUUAUUUUCUAUUUGUUAUCCUUGCCCUUUGCUCCUAUUUUUCUUCUGUUCUUUUUCUACCUUUUGUAGUUUUGAUUGAAAAUCUUAUGAUUCCAUUUUCUUUACUUUCCUAGCCUAUUAUUCAUACUCAUUUUUAUUCUUUAAAGUGUUUUCCGUAGAGUUUGUAGUAAACAUUCGCAACUACUCCAAGGUGACGUUCCAGUAACGCUGCACCACUCCACCAUCUAAAGCAUCACAGACAGUACAGCCAUUCACUGCUGAACCAGGGGGGUGGAUUUUUGAGAAGGGCAUCAUCGUGAGGUGAUGUCACUGUUGUGCCAACACCACGGUGCGCACACACAAACUAAGGUGGCCUGAUGUCAUGGGUGAUCUCAUGGGGUUGCUGGUACCUGCAGUUAUCACCGACUGAAACACCAUCACACAGGACCUCCGUGUCUUGAUUUUACCUAAGGAUCUGACUGUAAUUCAGGUCCCUCUCCUUCAUUUUAAGCCCAAGUGAUUAUGUGUACAUAUUUGCACAUUUGUGUAUUCAAUGUACUUAGUCAUGUGUGCUUCUGUACGUAUCUUGGGUAUUUAUAUUGGGUGUGUGCAAAGAUGUGUGUAUGUUGGUUAUGUACGCAGGCAUACAUAGGUAAAUACGGUGUGGCUGUUAUUUUGAAUAACGUAUUGUCUACUAGCUUGAUGUAGAGUAAGAAGAGGUUUUUAUCUCACCUUUGAUGCUCUUCCUUUGUCUGGGUCUGAACUUCUUUUGACUUGUUUUUGCAAGGCAGGUCUCCUGCUAACUAGUGUCAGAUUUUGAGAACGUCUUUAUUUCUCCUUCACACUUUAAGGAUGAGUUAGUUUUCAGAGCACAGAGUUCUAGUUUGGUGCUAUUCUCUUGACAUUUUAAGUGACUUGUCCCUCUCUCUUCCUGCCCAUGUGGUUGCUGAUGAGACAUCAGAUGUAAUUCAUGUCUCUGUUUCCUUUCAGGUAUGGUGUUUACCCUGACUUUUUUCAGGACAGUUUGUCUUUGAUUUUUCUGUAGUUUGAAUAUGAUUAUAAGUGUCAUUCUUAAUCUCUCCCAUUUAUCUUGCUGGGUGUUCUCUGAGUUUCCCGGAAAGUGGUUUGGUAUCCAGCCACAGUUGGGGACAGUCUUAGUCAUCAUUGUUUCAAAUAUCCCACCCCCUUCCUUCUGGCGUCCCACUGUGUGUCUGCCGUACUCUGUCCCCUCCUCUCUCUCCCUUCCUUCUGGCGUCCCACUGUGUGUCUGCUGUACUCUGUCCCCUCCUCUCUCUCCCUUCCUUCUGGCGUCCCACUGUGUGCCUGCUGUACUCUGUCCCCUCCUCUCUCUCUACUUUCUGCAGUUGUUCCACAGUCCUUGGAUAUUCUGGGGUUUUUUUUCAGGCUUUUUUCUCUUUUCCAUUCAGGCUUUUUGGUUUCUGUACCCUCAAGCUCAGAGAUUCUUUCCUCUGCUGUGUUUGGUAAACCAGUUUAGUCUAUCAAGGGCAUUGAUCAUUCCUGUUAUAAUUAUUUUGGUAUGUAGCUUUUCUUUUUGGGUCUUUCUUAGACUUUCUGGCUCUCUGCUUUCCUCAGGCUGUAUUAUAUUUAGGAUACUUGCAUCAAAAAUGUUUAAAAUUCCAGUUCUGAUAAUUCCAAUAUCCCUGCUCUGAAUCUGAUUCUGAUGCUCGCUCUUUUCAAACUUUUUUCCCCUUUAUUAGCGUAAGAUUUCUCAUAAGUCUUCCCCAGUAAGUUUGUCUUUGGGGCAGGACAUCGUGCUCUGGGUCAAGGAGCUAUGGCAGACGGGCCUGUGGUGAUGUGGUGAGGCAUGGGUAGGGGUGGGGGAGAAUGUGCCGAGGUCCUUCGGGGAGCUGCAGGCUUUGGUGGCUUGCAUGGCAUGGGCUGUGUGCUUUGCAAGAGCUUCUUAGGCCUCAUGGGUGAGAGGGAUGUCGGGGCUGAAGCUGGAACUCCCUCUGUGCACGUGGAAGACCUUGGCUGGCAGCAGAGGGCACUGUCCUCCCCUCAUGUCAGUGAGCCUCUGGGUAGCCCCCGUUCUCAGGCUCCUUGCGCAGCUGCCUCAAGAACAGAACUCUUUUCAAAAUGAACACUCUACGUAUUUCAGAAUGGUUCCUCUCCUUGCCUGCCAGAAACACGGCAGGUGUUUUCCCUGAAUUGAGAUUCACCAUGAUACCCUGCAGAACACAUGGUACAGCUCAGAAACAUGGGGACCUCCAGGACUGGUUCCCUGGUGCUGGACUUGUGUGCAUGGUCAGUUUCCAUCUGGGUUCUGCCCUGGCCUAAUUCCCGGGCAGGUUUGGGCUCCCGAGUCUCUGUUCUCAUAACUGUGAUCCUCUUUGUUCACCUCUGGGUCUCUCCAAAGCUGGAGUCGGGUGGUCUUGCGACCUCACUUCUCUAAUGCAUCUAAAAAGGGUUGUUGAAUUUUCAGUGUGCCUUGCUUUUCACGGUUGUGGGGACUCUGCCAGACUGGAAACUGGAAGGUAAAGUCCCUUUUAAAGCCAGGUGUGGGGUGAGACUCACAAUAGACUUCACCUCUUUUCCCUGCACAGCUCAAUAGCUUUGAGAAUAGGUCAGUGCUAUGAUCAAGGUAAACAUAUACACACUCCACAGCCCAUCCUCAUGCACCUUUUGUUGACCCUGACAGCCCUGAUCCACCUUGUCCCAGGCAGGGCCCUGUGCAGUGUGGUCUGCAGGGCCCCAGUGGCCAUCUGGCCACAGUGCAGGUGAGGGCUUCGCCUUGCUGUGUGCCCGGUUCCUCCAGGUCGCAGUGUUGCCCCCUGCCUUUAGACGCCCUGUGACUUGUCUAACCGUUCUCCAAUUUUGGGUAGCUCCUGGUGUUCGGCUGUUGUACCUAUGCCUAGGGCAUGGCAUCAGGUGUAGGUUUUCUUUUUCUUGGGUCAGCACCCAGGAGGGUUGGUGGAUGACACGGUAGGUGCAGGUUUGCUUCAAGAGAAGCUGCCCAUCUGUUUCAUGGCCUUACUGUUUCAUUUUGCAUUCCACUAGCAGUUAAUAGUCUUCUAGUGGCUUCACCUCCUUGCUACUGAUGGAAAGUUUCAGUUUUAUUUCUAAGGAGCUUAAUAAGCUCCACAUGCACAACAAAAACUACACCAGGCACAUAGUACACAAAUUGCCUCAAAUUCGAGCUAAAAAUUUGAAAUCGGGGAGAUGAACAGGGAUCAGAAUGACAGAGUAGAAGACAGUGGAGCAAGAAGUCGCCCUCAGCCUGGGCACUGCCCAGGGAGAUAGAUAUCAAAAUGAAAGGCAAGAUAGGCUUCUGGACAUGUGGAACCCAGGAGCGUUUGGGUCAGCCUGUCUUCUUUCCCAGUGGUGCAGCACCACAGACUGGUGGGUUGAAAGGAGAGAGGAUCACUCUCCUUGGCUCAGGUCGUGGUCAAGGCUGGAGGCUCCCCUCCAGGGACGGCCCUCUUGCUGGCAGUCCCGUAGCCUCCCAGAGCAUCACCUGGCAAGGGCCAGGGAGCACCUGAGUGUUGUUUUUGUCCCUUCUUCUCAUAAAGCCGCCAGGGUUCAAUCACAGAGCUCCACCACGGCGACCUUAUCCAAUCCUAUUACCCCUCAAAAUGCCACCUCUAAAUGCCACGGUUGGAUCCAAUCUCCAUCCUCUUAAUACUUCAGAUGGGGAAGUUUCUGCCCUGUUAAUACUUCUGCAUGGGAAGCCUGGUGCGACACUUAACUUACAUCCAAACCACAGCAGCGUGCGUCCCGGAAGACCUGCACCACCAGGAUGUUAAGCAGGUCUUUCAGGAAGAAGGGAAAUGGCACCGCAGUACCGACUCACCAGGUGACAGCAGUGCCGGUGAAGAUGGAUGUGUAUGGGAGCAGUAGAAACAUCCAUUACCUCAAAGUACCUUCAAAGCAGCAGGCUGAAGACCAGACAUGACAAGGAGGUGGUGUGGGGUUCAGGAUCUGCGUAGCAGCAAAUGGUGUGCCAACUCAAGUGGAAGGAAGGUCGAGUUGCUGCAGGGGACUGUAAGUUUAUACUCCCUGAGAGCCAGUGCAGUCCUGCUGCAAGGCAGACUGCAGGCUACUCUGAUAGACCAGAAAUCAAGGAGUUACAGCUAGUGAGUCAACAGAAGAGAUGAAGAGGAAUGCUGGCAGCACCAUGUUAGUCCUAGGGGUGUCAGAAGGGAGGACACACGCAGAGGAGCACAGAGAAGACAAGACGAUAGAUUGGGCAAAUGAAUUAAAUAGACACUUCUCAAAAGAAAAACACAAAUGGUCCACAAAUAAAUGAAAAAAUGGGGCUGGGGCUCAGUAUUAGAGUGCUUGCCUCUAGCAUGCAUGAGGCACUGGGUUCGAUCCCCGGAACCACAUAAAAAAUGCUAAAUAAAGGUAUUGUGUCCAUUUACAACUAAAAGAAAUGUUUAAAGAAAAAAAAAAGUUCAACACCAUUAGCAAUUACGGAAAUGUAAGUCAAAGCUAUACUGAGGUUUCAUGAUACUCCAGUUACAGAGGAAAUGAGCAAGAAUAAAAAUGCUUGAGAGGGUAUGGAGAAAAAGCAACUCUUGCACUCUUGGAGAGAUUGUAAAUUAAUACAAUCACUAUGGAGAUUAGUAUGGAGGUUUCUCAGAAAACUAGGUGUGGUAACACUAUGAUCUUGCUGUGCCACUCUGUCCUGAAGAAUAAAAGUCAUCAUACUACAGUGGUACAUGCUCACCCUUGUUUUAUAGCAGCCUGCAAUAGCCAAACUGAAACCAGCUGAGGUGUCCAUCGCUGGAUAAAUGGUAAAGAAAAUGCGGUAUAUGUACAGUGUAGAGUUUAACUCAGGCAUAAAGAGCAAAAUGCCAAAGAACAACAAAAUUAUGUCAUUGGCAGAAAAACAGAUGGAACUGGAGAACAUCGUGUUAAGUGAAAUAAGUUAGACUCCGCAGGACAGGUUGCAUGGAUCCUCUCAUAUGGAAGCUAGAGAGGAGUAGGGCAGAGGAAGGAACUGAGGGGGAUUAGUAGAGCAGAGGAAAGGGACCUGGGAGCGGGGUGUGGGGAAGGAAGGAGGAGGUGCUGGAGAAGGGAAUGGACCACAUUGUGGAUAUGCUUGUAUGAAUAUAUUGCAACGAAUCCCACUAUUAUGCAUGAUUAUAAUGUACCAAUAAGAAUUUAAAAGGAAACACCCUUUCAAGACGCGUUACUUCCUCCAAUCAGAUCCCACCGCCUAGUUAACACCACCUCUCAGAGGUCCAUCUGCUAUCAGUGGAUUAGUCCACUGGUGAGGUCAGAGCCCUCCUGACCCAGGCGCUCCCCAAUGCCCCACAACUGAACACUGCCAAGUUGAGGGCUCAAGUCUUCAAUACGUGAGCCUCUGGGGAGCUGUUCCAGAUCCAAGCUGCAACAGUUACCUGAGGAGCACAUUGUCUAUAGGAGGAAGCAGAGUUUAAAAGUAAAGAGAUGAGCCGGGCUCUGUGGCGCACAUUUGUGAUCCCAGCUGCUCCAGAGGCUGAGGCAGGAGGAUCUCGAGUUCAAAGCCAGCCUCGGCAACGGCGAGGCGCUUGGCAACUCAGUGAGACCCUGUCUUGAAAUAAAAUACAAAAUAGGGCUGGGGAUGUGGCUCAGUGGUUGAGUGUCCCUGGGCUCAAUCCCCAGUACCAAAAAAAGUAAAAGAGAUGGAAGAAGAUAUCCUAAUGGCAAUCAGAAUACUGAUGGCAAGACCACGUAAGUGUCAGGAAAGGUUUCCAGGCAAAGUGCAUCUGGGAUAAAGAGGUCAGCUCCCAGUGACCAAGGGCAGUUCAUCUGGACAGCUGACCCAGAGCAGUGAUUGAAAGAAUCCCCAGGAGAAAGCCACAGUUACAGUCAGCUUUCUUGGUGCCCUCCCUCAGAGCCCACAGGGCAGGGGAGGACACUGGCAUCAGCCGAGGGACGCCAGCUGAGCAGCGUGUAGUAGUACAGGAUGCCCAGCCUCAGCGAAUGCAGUCUCCGGGAGGGAACUGGGUGUGGCCGUGCCCGGCCGAGUGCUGGGCCGGGAAACAGGCCUAACAGGUCCAAAUCAAGCAUGUUCUCUGAACAAUGGAAGUUCUAAAAAUCCACAACAGAAACAAAAGAGCAAGAGCUGGAAAAUAGCUUGAAAAUCCCCCAAAUAUUUAGAAAUGAAAUCAUAUACUUCUAAAUAAUUCCUGGGUCAGAAAAGAAAUCAAACACUUUAAAUGUUUCUUUUCUUUCUUUUUACAGGCUGGGGAUGUCCUUUAGCCAGCUCGCGUUGCUGGGACCAAGAGACCUUACAAGAGGAGUCUAGAGGAAGGAAGGUCCAUUGGGACUCAUGGUUUCAGAGGUCUCAGUCUGAAGACGGCGACUCCACUGCUCUGGGCCUAAGAUAAGGCAGAACAUCGUGGCAGAGAGCCAGGGUAGGAGAGCUGCUGAGCGCACGGUGGGGUCAGAAGCCAGAAGGAGCAAGGAGGGAGGGGCCUCAGGAAAGACGCCCCCUUCCAGGGCAGCCCCCAGUGACCCACCUCCUCCAGCCUCGCCCCACCUGCCUGCAGCUGCCACCCAGGUCACAGCUCUCACAGUCCAAGCACUUCACCUCCGAACAUUCCUGCAUAACAGGAGCUUUGGGGGGGACCCCUCACAUCCAAACCUUGGAACCCAGGGCCUCCUAGGCCAGUGUCUACUGCUAAGUCAUGUCCUAGCGCUAGAAAGCAUUUUUUUUAAAAAAUUUUUUAAAAAAUAUUUUGUUUAUCUUUAUGUGGUGCUGAGGAUUGAACCCAGGGCCUCACAUGUGCGAGGCAAGCGCUCUACCACUGAGCCCCAGCCCCAACCCCUAGAAAACCUUUUUACUAGAAUAGAAAUGAAUACAAACAUGUUCAUCAUCUCAAUAUCUGUGGGACACCCCUGCCGCAAAUUUACUCAUCAAAUGUCUGUGCUAGAAAAGAGGUGAUCACAAGUCCCUUCUUCGCACCUUGGGAACGUGGAAAGAGCAAGCAUACAGAUGAAAGCACCAAUAAAGAAACAGGACUGGGAGGCUGAGGCACGAGGAAGUGAGUUCAAAGCCAGCUGUAGCAACUUACCGAGGCUCUAGGCAACUCAGCAAGACCCUGUCUCUAAAUAAAAUACAAAAAGGGCUGGGGUGUGGCUCAGCGGUUGAGUGCCUUUGGGUUCAAUCUCUGGGACAAAGAAAAGAAAGAAAAAUAGAAAACAAAAACAAGUAAAAAAAAUCAAUGUAGCAAAAAUAUACCACAUUUUCUUUACCUAUUCAUCUACUGAUGGGCGCCCAGGCUGGUUCUGAAGAUUGGCUAUUGUGAAUUGUGCUGCUGUGAACCUGGGUGUGCAUGUGUCACUAUAGUAUUCUGAUUUUAAUUCUUGAGGAUAAAUCCCGAAGAGUGGUAUGGCUGGGUCAUUUGGUGCUUCUGUACCUAGUCUUUUGAGGAAACGCUGUGCUGCUUUCAAUGGUGGUUGUCCUAAAGUACAAUCCCAGCAACAAUGGAAAGGGUUCCUUUUCCCACACGUCCUCCCCAGCAUUUGGUAUUGUUUAUAUUCUUGAUGCCUGCCGUUCUAACUAGAGUAGGAUGGAAUCCCAGUGUGUAUUUGCUUCAUGCAAAAAUUCUUAAAUUCUGGACCGUGAAUAUAGCUCAGAGUGCUUACCUUGCAUGCACAAGGCCCUGGGUUCAGUCCCCAGCACCACACACACACACACAUGCACACACACACACAAAUCUUAAAUUCAACAAUGUGUAAAAAUAGAUAAAACCAAAUGAGGUCACAUGGGUGGGGUUCAUCCCAGGAUUACAAAUGUCGGGUUAACAUCCGAAAAUCAGUGCAAUAUUUGGUGUUAAUAGAAUGAAGGACAAAACCAUAUGGUCAUCUGACAGAUGCUCCCAUUCUUCUCACAACGUCAGGAGAACUGGGAGCAGGUAAAGGACAACUGCAUCCCUGUGCCCCCAGGAGCAAGAACCAGACAGGAAACUGCACUCAUGGCUUCUGUGGAGAGAGUCUGCUCAGGGAGCAGAACAGGAAGUGUCACUUUCCAUGCCACAUGGGGUAGGGGGACAGCAUGCCACCUAUGCAGAAAAUUCUACAGCAAGCAUAAUAAAAAGCAUGGAAUGGUUCUCAUGAUCAUCCACACAAGGAUACAAGGUCAACACACAAAGCACAGUAAUGUUUAUACACGUCAGCUAUUAACAGUCAAAUUGAAAUCAAAACACUAUCGUUUAUGGCAGCAUCACACAUAUGAAACACUUUGGGUUAAAUGUGACCAAAGAUGUAAAAGAGAUUUAAACUUUAAAUUGUAAACAUUGCUGAUAUUAGAAAGUCACUGGAGAGGUGUGUUGCAUUUGUGGUCAGAAGACUGCACACUGCAAUGUGUGUCCUCAGAUUGAUUCAAGAGAGAGAACCCUAUCUCAAGGUCAUCGGUGUUUUUUUUUUUUUUUUUUUUGUGAGAGAGUGUGAGUGUGUGUGUGUGAAAGGGAGAGAGAGAAAAUGGACAGGCUGACUCUAACUUUAUAUAGAAAUGGAAACAGAGCUAGACAAAAUAAAAGAGCCAGUCGGAGGUCCCACACAACAUGAUUUCAGGAUUUGUGCACCUACGUUUUUGUUAUGGUUUGGAUGUGAGGUGUCUCCAAAAGCUCAUUGUGAAACGAUGCAAGAAGGUUCAGAGGUGAAGUGAUUGGGUUAGGAGAGCCCUGCAAAACCUAACCAGUGCAUUGAUCCCCUGUGUGGAGUAACUGGGUGGUGACCCUGUGUGGGUGGGGGGUGGCUGGAGGAGUGGUCACUGGGACUGUGCCUUUGGGUUUAUAUUUUGUCCCUGGAGAGCAGAGCUCUGCUUCCCGGUGCCUUGUCCUGAGCUGCUGACCUCCACCGUGCCUUUCCUCUGGUGUCCUGCCUCAGCUGAGGCCCAGAGCUGUGGAGUCAGCUCCUGAAACCAAAUAAACUCUCCCUCCUGCGAA